rnacentral:rRNA from 1 species
GUAACAAGUGGAUAACUUAACCUCAUGUCAGGGAUAACCCCGGGAAACUGGGGAUAAUACCUGAUAGAAGAUAGACACUGGAAUGUUCUAUCUUCGAAAGGCGCAAGUUUACUUGUUAGCGCAUGAGGAUGGGUCCGCGGCUGAUUAGGUAGUUGGCGGUGUAACGGACCACCAAGCCUGCGAUCAGUACGGGUGGUGGGAGCCAUAGCCCGGAGAUGGACUCUGAGACAUGAGUCCAGGCCCUACGGGGCGCAGCAGGCGCGAAAACUUCGCAAUACGCGUAAGCGUGACGAGGGAACCCCAAGUACUCUUGCUUUUUGCAGGAGUUUUUGCCAAGUGUAAACAGCUUGGAGAAUAAGGGCGGGGUAAGGCCGGUGCCAGCCGCCGCGGUAAUACCGGCCGCCCGAGUAGUGACCACUAUUAUUGGGCCUAAAGCGUCCGUAGCCGGUUUUGUAAGUUUCUGGGUAAAUCCCACAGCUUAACUGAGGGAAUUCCAGAAAUACUGCAGAGCUAGGGGCCGGGAGACGCAGAAGGUACCCUUGGGGUAGGGGUGAAAUCCUAUAAUCCUAGGGGGACCACCAGUGGCGAAGGCGUUCUGCGAGAACGGGCUCGACGGUGAGGGACGAAAGCCAGGGGCGCAAACGGGAUUAGAUACCCCGGUAGUCCUGGCUGUAAACGCUGCAGGCUUGGUGUUACGUUCUCUACGAGGGGACGUAGUGCCGAAGAGAAGUCAGUAAGCCUGCCGCCUGGGAAGUACGUUCGCAAGGGCGAAACUUAAAGGAAUUGGCGGGGGAGCACCACAAGGGGUGGAGGCUGCGGUUCAAUUGGAUUCAACGCCGGGAAACUCACCAGAGGAGACGGCAGUAUGAUGGCCAAGCUGAUGACUUUGCUUGACGAGCCGAGAGGAGGUGCAUGGCCGUCGUCAGCUCGUACUGUAAAGCGUCCUGUUAAGUCAGGCAACGAGCGAGACCCGUGCCCUUAGUUGCUAAGGGAUUUCGCAAGAGAUUCUAGCACUCUAAGGGGACCGCUGGCGCUAAGCCAGAGGAAGGUGCGGGCGACGGUAGGUCAGUAUGCCCUGAAUCCUUUGGGCUACACGCGGCCUACAAUGGCUGAGACAAUGGGCUGCAACGUCGAAAGGCGAAGCUAAUCCCUAAACUCUGCCUUAGUUCGGAUCGAGGGCUGCAACCUGCCCUCGUGAAGGCGGAAUCCCUAGUAAUCGCGUGUCAUCAUCGCGCGGUGAAUAUGUCCCUGCUCCUUGCACACACCGCCCGUCACUCCACCCGAGUAAGUUCAGGAUGAGGCUUUGCCA